AUGGCCGGCGCCGCGGGCGACAGGGCGGAAGGUGUGGGCGGUGGCGGGGACUGGCCGCCGUUCGCCGGCGACGCCUUCGCGGAGUACUCGUCGUCGGUGUUCGCGGAGCUCGGUGGAUGGUCGGAUGGCCUUGGCGCGGGCGCCGGGGAGCUGCCGCCGCUGGAUCUGCCGGCGGCGAGCGCGUCCGGGCCGGUCCCGAUGGCGCGGUCGGACGAGAUCAUGCCGGCCGCGUCAGGCGAGCCCGCAGGCGCCGCCUCCUCCUGCUCCAGCGGCGACGGCGCCGCAGCCGCCGCGGAGAACGCCGACAAGCCGCAGGAGGCCGCCGACGCAGCGAGCAUGAAGCCGGCGGCGGCGGCAGGGAAGAAGGGGCAGAAGCGGGCGCGGCAGCAGCGGUUCGCCUUCGUGACCAAGAGCGAAGUUGAUCACCUCGAGGAUGGGUACAGAUGGAGGAAGUAUGGGCAGAAAGCCGUCAAGAACAGCCCUUUCCCAAGGAGCUACUACCGGUGCACCAACAGCAAGUGCACCGUGAAGAAGCGGGUGGAGCGGUCGUCGGAGGACCCCUCCGUGGUGAUCACCACCUACGAGGGCCAGCACUGCCACCACCAGACCUCCUUCCAGCGCGGCGGCAUGCACUUCCACGGCGCCGCCACCGUUGCGCUCGCCGAGCAGAUGUCGUUCGUGUCAACUCAGCAGCUGUACAACCUGCCGCCCCUGCGCCGACAACAGAUGAAUCCUGCAUCGUCGGAGUCCGCCGUUAGCUCCGUGCCGCCGUCUUUGCAGCAGCUCAACGGCGGCGACGAACUGCGAAGGUCAACUAGCUAUAGCCCCACGGCGUCCGCGGUGCAGACACCGUCGUCGUCGUUGGUGCCUCCGGACGUUUCCUUUGACAUGGGACUGCUUGGCGACAUCGUGCCUCCAGGAGUAAGAAAUGGAUGA
rnacentral:rRNA from 1 species